rfam:Canis lupus familiaris chromosome 8, whole genome shotgun sequence.
GCCGGGCGCGGUGGCGCGCGCCUGUAGUCCCAGCUACUCGGGAGGCUGAGGCAGGAGGAUCGCUUGAGCCCAGGAGUUCUGGGCUGCAGUGCGCUAUGCCGAUCGGGUGUCCGCACUAAGUUCGGCAUCAAUAUGGUGACCUCCCGGGAGCGGGGGACCACCAGGUUGCCUAAGGAGGGGUGAACCGGCCCAGGUCGGAAACGGAGCAGGUCAAAACUCCCGUGCUGAUCAGUAGUGGGAUCGCGCCUGUGAAUAGCCACUGCACUCCAGCCUGGGCAACAUAGCGAGACCCCGUCUCUU